GGACCCGCACAAGCGGUGGAGCAUGUGGUUUAAUUCGAUGCAACGCGAAGAACCUUACCUGCCCUUGACAUACUCGGAACUUGCCAGAGAUGGCUUGGUGCCUUCGGGAGCCGAGAUACAGGUGCUGCAUGGCUGUCGUCAGCUCGUGUCGUGAGAUGUUGGGUUAAGUCCCGCAACGAGCGCAACCCACGUCGUUAGUUGCCAGCAUUUAGUUGGGCACUCUAGCGAGACCGCCGGUGAUAAACGGAGGAAGGUGGGGAUGACGUCAAAUCAUCACGGCCCUUACGUCCUGGGCUACACACGUGCUACAAUGGCCGGUACAGAGGGCAGCCACACCGCAAGGUGGAGCG
rnacentral:rRNA from 1 species